rnacentral:rRNA from 1 species
AUACGUAUGGAGCAAGCGUUAUCCGGAUUUACUGGGUGUAAAGGGAGCGUAGACGGCAUAGCAAGUCUGAAGUGAAAUCCCAUGGCUUAACCAUGGAACUGCUUUGGAAACUGCCAGGCUAGAGUGCAGGAGAGGUAAGCGGAAUUCCUAGUGUAGCGGUGAAAUGCGUAGAUAUUAGGAGGAACACCAGUGGCGAAGGCGGCUUACUGGACUGUAACUGACGUUGAGGCUCGAAAGCGUGGGGAGCAAACAGGAUUAGAUACCCUGGUAGUCCACGCUGUAAACGAUGAUUACUAGGGUUUGGGGACCAAAGGUCCUCGGUGCCGCCGCAAACGCAUUAAGUAAUCCACCUGGGGAGUACGUUCGCAAGAAUGAAACUCAAAUGAAUUGACGGGG